AGAGUUUGAUCAUGGCUCAGAAUCAACGUUGGCGGCGCGCUUAACACAUGCAAGUCGAACGAGAAAGUGGAGCAAUCCAUGAGUAAAGUGGCGUACGGGUGAGUAACACGUGGGUAUCCAUUCUUUGGUGGGGAAUAACUCUGGGAAACCGGAGCUAAUACCGCAUAAGUCCGAGAGGAGAAAGGUGAAAAUCGCCGAAGAGGGAGCCCGCGGCUGAUUAGCUAGUUGGUGAGGUAACGGCCCACCAAGGCGAAGAUCGGUAGCCGGCCUGAGAGGGCACACGGCCACACUGGCACUGAGACACGGGCCAGACUCCUACGGGAGGCAGCAGUGGGGAAUCUUGCACAAUGGGGGCAACCCUGAUGCAGCGACGCCGCGUGAACGAUGAAGCCCUUCGGGGUGUAAAGUUCUUUCGGCAGGAACGAUAAUGACGGUACCUGAAGAAGAAGCUGCGGCUAACUACGUGCCAGCAGCCGCGGUAAUACGUAGGCAGCAAACGUUGUUCGGAGUUACUGGGCGUAAAGAGUACGUAGGCGGUUUGCCAAGUUUGGUGUGAAAUCUCCUGGCUUAACUGGGAGGGUGCGCCGAAUACUGGCGGGCUUGAGUAUUGGAGAGGAAAGCGGAAUUCCUGGUGUAGCGGUGAAAUGCGUAGAUAUCAGGAGGAACACCGGUGGUGUAGACGGCUUUCUGGACCGUAACUGACGCUGAGACACGAAAGCGUGGGUAGCAAACAGGAUUAGAUACCCUAGUAGUCC
rnacentral:rRNA from 1 species